UACGGAGGGUGCAAGCGUUAUCCGGAUUCACUGGGUUUAAAGGGUGCGUAGGUGGGCAGGUAAGUCAGUGGUGAAAUCUCUGGGCUUAACCCAGAAACUGCCGUUGAUACUAUCUGUCUUGAAUAUAGUGGAGGUGAGCGGAAUAUGUCAUGUAGCGGUGAAAUGCUUAGAUAUGACAUAGAACACCCAUUGCGAAGGCAGCUCGCUACACUGUUAUUGACACUGAGGCACGAAAGCGUGGGGAUCAAACAGG
rnacentral:rRNA from 1 species